rnacentral:lncRNA from 1 species
CCUGCGCACCAGGGGUAGGUGCCCCCUGUGCCCUGCACCCUGCCUGGCAGCUGGGACCUGCUGAUGGAGCCUUGUGAAGAUGCUGUGGUGCUCAGGGAGGAUCAGGGGCAGCCAGGGCCCACCAUCAGAUGCCCCCAGACAGAAACAGCUCCACUCACCCGCAGCACCACAACUCUGGAACCUGAUGCGAUGACCAGCUCCGACGUGCCAGAUGACAUCGUGGACAUGGAGGGUCUGCUCACCUGGAGCAAUGAUGUGGGAAGUACUCUCCAGGUUCCCCAGGAGAACCCCAGCAGCCCUGCUUCCCCUUGUUUCAUCACUGACCUCCCUGACAACCCCAGGGACAGCAGAGAGCUCAGCACGGAGGGACGGGCUGCCACCAGGGCCCCCAGUGACCCCUUCUGGGGGCUUCCACCAUCCCCUGGGCUCCUGCCUGAGAUGCAGCAUGGGUUGUCGCUGCUGCCCCUCGUCGUGCCACCAGCAAAUCCCCGGCCAGCCCCCCUGGUUGUCACCAAACCUCCCUCACCCCACACCGCACAGCCCAUGGAGGAGGUGCAGAAAAGGCAGCCCCAGGGGGUUCAGACCCACACACCAGCAUCACCAGGCUCUGUCCCCUGCCGGGCAGCGGACAAGAAACGCAAGGACAGUGCCAAGAGGGCCAAGUACCAUGCGCCUGCCAGCACCCCCCAGAAAGGGGAGACCUCCAGCCACAAGCAGCCCACCAGCAGAGCCCCACUCAAGAAAGGAAAGCUGCCACUACGGAAGGAGAGAAAGGGCCGCAAACACCCACAUCAAGUGAAGCUGGCUGGGGUCAGUGCAGGAGCCAGCAGCAGCAGACAAGUGGGCACCUCCAGCGAGCUGCACAGACACUUGCUGCAAUCCAUCCAGGCCCUACACCCGCUGGGGCAGAGGGUGACUGCAGUGGGGCCAGUACGCCAGCCACCCUCUGCGCAGCCCCAACCCACACCCAGCGCUGGGCCUGCUGCCCUCCAGCCCCAAGACAGCAGCACAGACAAGGCAGCACUGGCAUCACCGGACAGCAUGGUGCGAGAGGAGGAUGCUGCCAAGAAGAUGGCGCCGAGCUGCCUGCGCCUGUCCCCGCUGAGGCGCUCACCGCUGCAGAGGGACCAAGCCUCACAGUUGCACGAGCAGCAGCAUCGGCCGCAGCGCUCUGUGGAUUCUGUGCCUUGUGUGGGGCCCCAGGCGGGUGGCAGUCUGGCACCCACACCGCUGGAAGAGUCACUGCCCAUCACAGCCGAGCAGCAGCCCGAGCGGGAGCACAUGAAGAAGGUGGCUCAGGAGGAGCGGGAGCGGGCGGCCCACCAGAUGAAGAUCGGCCCCGUGCAGUUCCUUGUGCAGCGGGAGAUAGACAUGGCCAUCGCUGACCAGUACGGCUACCCAUAACCCUGCACUCCUCGCCGGCCCCCGCAGCACCAGGCAGCAGUGGCAGCAUUCCAGGGGCACAACCAGUGGCCCCAGCCCUCCCCUCCAGAACUGAGCAGUCCUCCACACUGGAGUGGGACGGGACAUUGUUGGACUCCAAACUUGUUGACUGUGAACUUUUUGGGAUGGGAAUUUCGGGGGGUGGGAAUUUGGGGUGGGAAAUUGUUUUGGGGUGGGAUACGGUUGGGUUGGGAAUUUGGGAUGGGAAAUUCUUUCAGGGUGGGAUCUUGUUGAGGUGGGAAUCUUGGGUGGGAAAUUGCUUUCGGGUGGGCUUCUGUCGGGCGGGAAUCUUCUGGACCCUUGCAUGGAAAUUUUGGGGGUGGGAUACUUUUAAGGUGGAAAUUUUAGGUGGGAAUCUCUUGCCAGCAACUUCCUUCUCCUACAGUGUCGCACUGCAUCUGAAUUUGGUGGGGUGGGAAACUGGGGUGGGAAUUUGGGGCUGGACAACUGUUGGUGAGGGGAACUGGGAGGGGAGGGGAAACUGAAGUGGGAUUUUGGCGGGGUGGGUAAUUAUUGGGUGGGAAUUGUGGGAGGGGAUUGUAGGGGUGGGAUAGUGGGGGGAGGAGAAAUCCGAGGGAGGUGGGAAAUUGCUUAGAGGGUGGGAUUUUCAGGAUCAGACAUGAUUGUUAGGAUGGGGGAUAUUAGGUUGGGAAUAUUAGCAUACAAAGCAAUGACUAAGAGAAAUGACAAGUUAUUAAACGCUUUGUGUUCCCUUUGCUACACCUGUGCCUGCAGUCAUUUGUGCAGUGUCAAAGUCCCCUAGCUCCCAUGCCCACCUCCGGGGCAGGAUGGGGCAACACACAUGCCAGCGUCCCUCAGCUGCCACCACCAGCCCCAGCUCUCCCCUCCAAAAUGUUUUGUGCUCACUUUGCUGUGCCUCCGCCUGAAAUCCUUUGUGCAGCGGGAUGCAGAGGGCGUUGAACACAGCUCGCCUGCGCUGCCCGUGCCGGCACCGGGAAUUGCUGUGGGGAUGGGCACCAGGCAGGGCAAGAGCAGAUGGAGGGGGAAUUGCCCCAGGUCACUGUGGCCAGAAGAGACUCUGAGAGUGGCAGCAUGGGCAGUUCCCAUGGAGAGGGGAAGCAGGGGCAGCUGGGCCUGCUGUGCAGAUAUACAGAUACACCCAUAGAUACCUCACAUAUCGUUGUUCUUCUGCCUCCGCAUUCUUGGGUCCUGGUCUUUGGACAGGAACUCAGACAAGCCUGUACAUCCAGAGCAGGAUUUUCCUGACCAUGGCACCUUGAUCCCAGGAUGUGCUCCAUCACGUACUUCUAGGAAAUGCACGUCUGGUGCUGCACAAAGGCCCCUGAAAGUAAGGCCAGCCUCGCAGGCUUGGACUGCUCCCACGCUCCCCAGCACUGCCUCUAAAAUCUCAGGGAACACAGGCUCUCUCAGACUCUGCCUGCAGCCCAAUAGCACAGACUGCGUCCCCUGUCUCACUUUAUGCUGCCGUGUCAGAGGACAAAGAGCUGAAGGCACAGGCUGCAACAGGAGACACACAGAGCCUUCACACCACGGCGUGCUGCCUGCCUUUCAUCAGCCAUUCCCAGACCUUCCAGGAAGACAUGCCCUCGUCUGGACACAGGCCAGUCCAAAUUAAACUCUUUCUCCUAACGUUUCUCCUAAGAGCCUAACUGUGGGAAGUAUUUGAUGGACAGUGGGCAUAUUUAUUAGAACAUGCUCGAGUAAUCCCUGGAGUGACCUUGGAGGCCUGAGACAAGGAACAGCUGCUGUGUUGCAAGGUCGAACAUCUAUGCCUCCAGGUUGUGCUUUACGGGACUGCUAACCACUCUCUAACUGCAAGAAUGCCUAUGUGAUGAUAUCCGCUGUCCAAUUAACAGUGUUGUGGCGCGCGACGCCUACCUGAUGCUCUAUAAAUGUUGUAGUCGAAUUACAAUAAAUAAGCACUACGCGAUAACCA